AGCUUUAUAGUCAAUAAUGAUUUAAAAUUGCAAAUUUUAAGGGGUAUAUUAAUACUAAGGCUU
rnacentral:tRNA from 1 species